rnacentral:rRNA from 1 species
GAGUUUGAUCAUGGCUCAGGAUGAACGCUGGCGGCGUGCUUAACACAUGCAAGUCGAACGAUGAACUCCAGCUUGCUGGGGGGAUUAGUGGCGAACGGGUGAGUAACACGUGAGUAACCUGCCCUUAACUCUGGGAUAAGCCUGGGAAACUGGGUCUAAUACUGGAUAUUGACUUUUCACCGCAUGGUGGUUGGUUGAAAGAUUUAUUGGUUUUGGAUGGACUCGCGGCCUAUCAGCUUGUUGGUGAGGUAAUGGCUCACCAAGGCGACGACGGGUAGCCGGCCUGAGAGGGUGACCGGCCACACUGGGACUGAGACACGGCCCAGACUCCUACGGGAGGCAGCAGUGGGGAAUAUUGCACAAUGGGCGAAAGCCUGAUGCAGCGACGCCGCGUGAGGGAUGACGGCCUUCGGGUUGUAAACCUCUUUCAGUAGGGAACAAGGCCAGCAUUUUUGUUGGUUGAGGGUACUUGCAGAAGAAGCGCCGGCUAACUACGUGCCAGCAGCCGCGGUAAUACGUAGGGCGCAAGCGUUAUCCGGAAUUAUUGGGCGUAAAGAGCUCGUAGGCGGUUUGUCGCGUCUGCCGUGAAAGUCCGGGGCUCAACUCCGGAUCUGCGGUGGGUACGGGCAGACUUAGAGUGAUUG